GGGGGCAAGCGUUCGACCGGAAUCGGAAAUUAAGCGCCGUCGCAUAGUAACGGUCGAACCAGAACAUGUUAUAUCGAAGGGUUUGGGUCGAACGCCACAUAAGACACGAAAAGAAGAGGGCACGGAAGAAGACGGGACAACGAGAAGAGAAACCCACAACUAAACGAAUCCUCAGAUGUAAAUAUUCGAUGUGCCGUGGCGCUCUGUGGCCUUCCUUUCCACUGCCACGAGGAUGAUGCCACUUUUACAAAUACAUGGGAUGUCUCUCAAUCAGAGUUCAAGAGGAGAACAACCCAGCCCGAUUUGUCGCUGAUUGGAUUUCGCCCUGCAGGCUGGAAACCUGCACAUUUAUCUCUCCUGCGUCCGUUCCACGUUUGCUGGAACCAAUCACAACCUGGCUUAUCCAUCAGACGCACCAGGACCGUGGUCUGAUUGGUUGAAGAACUAUCCAAGCGUACAGUCAUUUGAAUUAUGACCAUUGAUCACGCCUCUUGUGCAGUAGAAAUACAGCACAGCCUCCCCAGACUAAUGUUCAAUCUCAAAAGAUUGAGCGUGGGCUGAUGAUAACCAGGCUAUGAACUCCAAUGUUUUUACAAAACUGUAUUAGCAUAGUAAUUAAUUGUUCCAAGAACAUAUUCCAUGAUUUGAUGAUGGUUGAAGUUAUUGUCCAUGGUUGAACUUUUUUAUUAUUAUUUGAAUUUUUUAUUUUAAUUUUAAUUUUAUAUAUUUGAAUGUAAUAGUAUCUCCUACGAUCUCUUUUCUCAAACGAG